GUGGGGAAUUUUGGACAAUGGGCGCAAGCCUGAUCCAGCAAUGCCGCGUGCAGGAAGAAGGCCUUCGGGUUGUAAACUGCUUUUGUACGGAACGAAACGGUCCGGGUUAAUACCCUGGGCUAAUGACGGUACCGUAAGAAUAAGCACCGGCUAACUACGUGCCAGCAGCCGCGGUAAUACGGAGGGUGCAAGCGUUAAUCGGAAUUACUGGGCGUAAAGCGUGCGCAGGCGGUUUUGUAAGACAGGCGUGAAAUCCCCGGGCUCAGCCUGGGAAUUGCGCUUGGGACUGCAAGGCUGGAGUGCGGCAGAGGGGGAUGGAAUUCCGCGUGUAGCAGUGAAAUGCGUAGAUAUGCGGAGGAACACCGAUGGCGAAGGCAAUCCCCUGGGCCUGCACUGACGCUCAUGCACGAAAGCGUGGGGAGCAAACAGGAUUAGAUACCCUAGUAGUCC
rnacentral:rRNA from 1 species